AGAGAGAGAGAGAGAGAGAGACUCAGCCUGCCCGUUUGUGUGUACGCGCGCGAGGGAAGGGGCGCCCCUCGCUCCAGCCUAGCGGCUGCGCCAAACUUCAUCCCAAGGUCGACGUGAAAGGCCAAGACCCGGCCCCACUGUCGGAUCUGUGACUUGUCUGGACAGAGCGGUGGGAGCAAGGCCUGGAGAACCGAGGGAUGUUUUGCUGGAAAGCCGCCCCUCUCCGCCCCUCACAUCCUAGGAUGGACCAGGAGACCACUCCCAGGCUGUGGUCCUCCUCAGGGCCAGGCCCCUUCCCAGUUUUAUUUCCUGCUGACAACCAGCAUCAGCACCCCCAGACCUAAAAGGCCCCCAGGUAGCUCUCUGACUUCAGCUCUGCAAAGCCAUAGGCCAAUGCAAAGCUGGGAGACUGUCCUCUUCUCCCGCCUUCCUUCUUUCCCCAAAGGGAAAAAUCCAAGGCCUCCAGUUAAUACUUUAAAAAAUAAAAGCACCGUCCUCACCAACAUUCUCCUUAGGUUUGGGAGGUGUCUCAAAGCCAAUAAUUC
ensembl:lncRNA